rnacentral:rRNA from 1 species
CCUACGGGAGGCAGCAGUGGGGAAUAUUGCACAAUGGGCGCAAGCCUGAUGCAGCGACGCCGCGUGCGGGAUGACGGCCUUCGGGUUGUAAACCGCUUUUGAUCGGGAGCAAGCCUUCGGGUGAGUGUACCUUUCGAAUAAGCACCGGCUAACUACGUGCCAGCAGCCGCGGUAAUACGUAGGGUGCAAGCGUUAUCCGGAAUUAUUGGGCGUAAAGGGCUCGUAGGCGGUUCGUCGCGUCCGGUGUGAAAGUCCAUCGCUUAACGGUGGAUCUGCGCCGGGUACGGGCGGGCUGGAGUGCGGUAGGGGAGACUGGAAUUCCCGGUGUAACGGUGGAAUGUGUAGAUAUCGGGAAGAACACCAAUGGCGAAGGCAGGUCUCUGGGCCGUUACUGACGCUGAGGAGCGAAAGCGUGGGGAGCGAACAGGAUUAGAUACCCUGGUAGUCCACGCCGUAAACGGUGGAUGCUGGAUGUGGGGCCCGUUCCACGGGUUCCGUGUCGGAGCUAACGCGUUAAGCAUCCCGCCUGGGGAGUACGGCCGCAAGGCUAAAACUCAAAGAAAUUGACGGGGGCCCGCACAAGCGGCGGAGCAUGCGGAUUAAUUCGAUGCAACGCGAAGAACCUUACCUGGGCUUGACAUGUUCCCGACAGCCGUAGAGAUGCGGCCUCCCUUCGGGGCGGGUUCACAGGUGGUGCAUGGUCGUCGUCAGCUCGUGUCGUGAGAUGUUGGGUUAAGUCCCGCAACGAGCGCAACCCUCGCCCUGUGUUGCCAGCACGUCAUGGUGGGAACUCACGGGGGACCGCCGGGGUCAACUCGGAGGAAGGUGGGGAUGACGUCAGAUCAUCAUGCCCCUUACGUCCAGGGCUUCACGCAUGCUACAAUGGCCGGUACAACGGGAUGCGACAUGGCGACAUGGAGCGGAUCCCUGAAAACCGGUCUCAGUUCGGAUUGGAGUCUGCAACCCGACUCCAUGAAGGCGGAGUCGCUAGUAAUCGCGGAUCAGCAACGCCGCGGUGAAUGCGUUCCCGGGCCUUGUACACACCGCCCGUCAAGUCAUGAAAGUGGGUAGCACCCGAAGCCGGUGGCCUAACCCUUUGUGGGAUGGAGCCGUCUAAGGUGAGACUCGUGAUUGGGACUAAGUCGUAACAAGGUAGCCGUACCGGAAGGUGCGGCUG